rnacentral:rRNA from 1 species
GACGGAGGGUGCAAGCGUUGUUCGGAAUUAUUGGGCGUAAAACGCUCGUAGGUGGCUACGUCAAGUCGGACGUGAAAUCUCCCGGCUUAACUGGGAGAGGUCGCUCGAUACUGGCGAGCUCGAGGCAGGUAGGGGGAAGCGGAAUUCCCGGUGUAGUGGUGGAAUGCGUAGAUAUCGGGAGGAACACCAGUGGCGAAGGCGACUACCUGGCCUGUUUCUUGACGCUGAGGCGCGAAAGCUAGGGGAGCAAACGGG